AGAAUAUGACAACAGCCAUCAUCUCAAAGCCAUGAACAACAUUUUAUCAAACUGAAAAAGAAAAUAUACAAUAGUCAGCAUGCAUCAUUCCACGAAUAUAUUGGUAGAUAUAAAAAUCGAAGGAUAAUCGUCUAGACACAGAUCAUUUCUUCAAGGAAUUGGCCAUCAAUCUGUAUUGUAUUAUUGAAGAAGUUACGUGACAAAAAAAGGAGUCAUCAUGUCAGGACCAUCGGGACAAAAUAAUACCGAUUUUCGGUCGAUAAAAUAUUGUAAAAAUGGGAAAAUGGAGGAAGGCGGAAUUGGAAGGGUCAAAGUUCGACAGACAAAUGCUAAUGGCAAUGACAAUGACGAAAAGAGGAAAUGGCCGGCAUUGUGUGACGCGAAUCCGUAUAUAGUCGAUCUUUUGAAUAAUCUUUUCAAAAAAGAAGAAACACCCAACGAGUCACCAACAACUGAUUAAUAUUCGGCUUAACUAUUUUUCUAUCAAGUUUUUAAAUGUUAUUGAGAUAAUCAGUAAAAAUAAAUCGGACGUAAAAUAUUUUCGUUUUGUUUUGAAUGUAACUUCUUGCAAAUCUAAUUUCUUACAAGCGCAUAAAUUGUCCAGAAUUAUACACAUAUACACAUAUAUAAUACUUUCUUUUUGUCACUUUUGUGUAAAUAAAAUAAAAGCAAAGGAAAUGUACAAAAGAAUAGAUUUACAUUAGCGUAAGUAUACUAAGGUGAUUUUUAAAUCUUUUUCUUACUGAACCUUCUCUUCUGACUUUUAUCUUUUAUCUCAAAUGCAUAAUUCAAGAAAAGCAAGACACAACUAUUGGUUAACUUCGUGACGAGUAGCUUUCGACGGGAACAAAUCUUCGAAAAAAUAAAUAUUUUAGACUGAAAUAAAUGCUAUUUUAACAUGUAAUGUGAAUAAAAUUUAUUUUCAAGGA